GAUGGUGCGGAGUUGUAAGUGAAAAAAGAGGACAUUAGGACCAUAAAAAUGAAUGGAGCUGGGAGGGUUCAGUGUUCACUAUUGACUGUAGGAACAGACAAGUGUGGAAAUGAUGAAAGGGACAGAGUCAUGGAGAACUCUUGUCUUUAUUAGUAAAAAAAGAUGUGAUUUUGCACUGAAGAGAAACAGAUGUCAGGAAUGCGGUUGCAGAUGAGGAGGGAAGUGGCAGAGGGAAGCAGAGCAAGAUCCAGGGUGAUGCAGUGCUUGGCUCCUGGCAUAAUACCUGUGUAUAUUUCUCCAUCAAACAUGGCUACCAUAAGAAAUCCUUUAAAUCUCUACUUUUGCUACUGGGUGCAAAAGUACCCAGAUGCCAGUCACCCAUCAAUUUGCUCUUAGCUAUAACAGAGAUAAGGCAGGGUGAAGGUAGCAAGUGCUGAUAGAUGAGGGACAUCCCAGCAGAAAUGACUGCUUGGUGCUCCAACAAUGAAAAAUGGAGGUGGUAGCAAAAAGUAAAGGAUAGUGUGGGGGUAAAACAAGGAGAUCCCAGUUCCAUAGGGCAGGAGUAAACUAGUUUAAAGUCAUCCUUCCCUAUCAUCUUUUUCCCUUCCUCCCCACAGUUAGGUCUGAUUUUGUGUCACUAAAGCAAAUGGGAGUUUUGCAAUUGACUUCAAUGGGCACAGAAUCAAACCCUUUGUCUCCAUCUUUCCUUCCCCCUUCCUUGUUGUUGUUCCUCUCCUUGCCCCUUUCCCAUAUUUAUGCCCCUCCCUACUUGUUAAUAGCAGUGGCAGAGCAGCAAAGAAAAGAGAUCAGAAGAGAACAACUCAAAAGUUUCAAUCUUUAUUCUCCAAAUACUCCAUCUUCACUGCCAGGCAGAAAAACCACCUGGGAUGCAUUUUUUAUGUUUUUCACAGUCAUGUGCACUUUUUUCACACAUACUAGUUCCUAAGAAGGAAAGCACAUUCUUAGAGGGAAGACAGCGUGCUACCACCACCAGGACAAAAAGGAACACAUGAGAGAUACUUGGAGUCAAGAGUCCAGAUUGCCCUGAUGUUCUGUAUCUGGAGCACAACAUCCCAUUGAACUCUCUGAUGUUUUUCUGCCUAUCUGAUGGGGGAACUAUAUUGGUGACUGUGAGGGAGAUUCCAUUGUGCCUGCUAGGAAUAAUAAUCUUCUCAGCAACUUCACCACCAAACAGCUUGCUGUACCUGUACCUGCUGCCCUGUCACCAGCCUACCUGAUUGCAUCUCCUUAUUUCACAGAAGCCAGAAAAAAGGGAAAGUUUGCAGUGGUGAGGGAAUGUGGAACAGUUUUAAUUUUAAAAGAAACAGUUAAAUUAGAGAGAGUAAUUUGAUUGGAAAGACAUUAUUAUUUGUAUACUGCCUUCAGUGUACCUGGGUUGUUAAGCCUUAAAUGUCUAAGGUAGUAUAAAUAAUAAAGCUAAGAUUUUAAAGAGAUUGUCAAACCAAAUUUGACCCACAUUUGGGUUUUAUAAGAACAAGCUUUUUAAGAAAAUCUAAGAUCAAUAUAACUGUUUGGAUUUUUUUUAAAAAUCCAAUGAAAACAAACUAAACCCCAACUUUUUGCAACUGAAACACAAGGCUGAGUUAGUGCCUGAGAAGGUGAAAUUGACUAAUUUCAUCCUCCAAUCAGAGAAAUGAGAAAAAGUAAACAAACAAUACAUGGUGAAAAGUACAUUGAGAUGUUUUUAAAUGCCACCUUUAAUAACCUAAGAUUUUAUUUGUAACAUAAGAUAAAGACAUGGCAUGAAAUCCUCGCUCUAAUGAAAUCAGUGUCAAAACUUCCAUAUAUUUCAGUGGGCCCAGCAUUUCACACAUUAUUUUUUAAAAGGUUAUAUUUUAACAUCUGUGAAAUCAAUCCGUUGGGUGUGUUCUAGGGAGUGAGAUUUUUGACAUUGCAGGGACAAGAGAAGAUGUGAUUCCUUAUACUCAAAAGGGGUUAAGAAUGUUGGGCCCAGAGGACUAUAUGAAACUGUACACAGCUGGAGUAGUUCAAAUGGAUUGUGAUAGUGGGUACUUUUCGCAAUUCCCCAGCAAAAGGUGAUAUACUAUGGCUAUGUGACAUAUAUGUGACUGAAAUACAAUCAUUGUCAGAUAACUCUGAAACUAUAGAAAAUGAUGGUGAUCUCAAAGGUGGAUAGUCUUCAGAAUCCUGUAUGUUGAGGAUGGAUUCUCCUA